rnacentral:rRNA from 1 species
GACGAACGCUGGCGGCGCGCCUAACACAUGCAAGUCGAACGAGCGAGAGAGAGCUUGCUUUCUCGAGCGAGUGGCGAACGGGUGAGUAACGCGUGAGGAACCUGCCUCAAAGAGGGGGACAACAGUUGGAAACGACUGCUAAUACCGCAUAAGCCCACAGGUCGGCAUCGACCAGAGGGAAAAGGAACAAUCCGCUUUGAGAUGGCCUCGCGUCCGAUUAGCUGGUUGGUGAGGUAACGGCCCACCAAGGCGACGAUCGGUAGCCGGACUGAGAGGUUGAACGGCCACAUUGGACUGAGACACGGCCCAGACUCCUACGGGAGGCAGCAGUGGGGAAUAUUGCACAAUGGGGGAAACCCUGAUGCAGCGACGCCGCGUGGAGGAAGAAGGUCUUCGGAUUGUAAACUCCUGUUGUUGAGGAAGAUAAUGACGGUACUCAACAAGGAAGUGACGGCUAACUACGUGCCAGCAGCCGCGGUAAAACGUAGGUCACAAGCGUUGUCCGGAAUUACUGGGUGUAAAGGGAGCGCAGGCGGGAAGACAAGUUGGAAGUGAAAUCUAUGGGCUCAACCCAUAAACUGCUUUCAAAACUGUUUUUCUUGAGUAGUGCAGAGGUAGGCGGAAUUCCCGGUGUAGCGGUGGAAUGCGUAGAUAUCGGGAGGAACACCAGUGGCGAAGGCGGCCUACUGGGCACCAACUGACGCUGAGGCUCGAAAGUGUGGGUAGCAAACAGG